rnacentral:rRNA from 1 species
GCUAACGAGCGCAACCCUCCGCUGUGUGUUACAAGUGUCACACGGAACUGCCGGUCAUAAACCGGAGGAAGGUGGGGAUGACGUCAAGUCAGCAUGGCCUUUAUAUCCUGGGCUACACACACGCUACAAUGGGAAGGGACAAUAGGUUGCGAAGCCGCGAGGCGGAGCCAAUCCAGCAAAACUUACCCUCAGUUCAGAUUGCAGGCUGCAACUCGCCUGCAUGAAGUUGGAGUUGCUAGUAAACGCAGGUCAGCCAUACUGCGUUGAAUACGUUCCCGGGGCUU